GCGGUAAUUCCAGCUCCAAUAGCGUAUAUUAAACUUGUUGCAGUUAAAAAGCUCGUAGUUGUAUUUUUGCGUUAGCGGUUUGACCAUUUGGUUGGUUAUUUCGUUUUCGCUUUUGGGAAUUUCCCUUUUUACUUUGAGAAAAUUAGAGUGUUUCAAGCAGACUUUUGUCUUGAAUACUUCAGCAUGGAAUAAUAGAGUAGGACUUUGGUUCUAUUUUGUUGGUUAUUGAACCUUAGUAAUGGUUAAUAGGAACGGUUGGGGGCAUUCGUAUUUAACUGUCAGAGGUGAAAUUCUUAGAUUUGUUAAAGACGAACUACUGCGAAAGCAUUUGCCAAGGACGUUUCCAUUAAUCAAGAACGAAAGUUAGGGGAUCGAAGACGAUCAGAUACCGUCGUAGUCCUAACCAUAAACU
rnacentral:rRNA from 1 species